AAACAGGAAGGGCUCCCUUUUCCCCUCCGCUCCUGCUCCAGCAGCACGAUGUGAUCCACCAGCAAGGAGGGACACCACUAAGGCAUCUGGAGAUGGUUGUGUCACAGUGAAACCACAUAAUCUAGAGAUUCUGGAAACCAUGUCAGUCCACGGUUUGAACUUUUUCAAUCAAGCAAUUAAGAAUUUCAAAUAAAGACUGAACACAAUUACUUGGGCUAAUCUUCUCUUCCAUCCUUCACCCAAACCCACGUGAGAGAUCAAAUGUAGGGAAAUGACUCAACUGAAGACGAAGAAAGAGGACUCCAGAAAAGCAUCUGGGACUUUGAUUUUCAUGGUUUAGUCCCCAUGAGCUGACUGUGUUUAGACUCUAUCAGUUGUGAGCUUAAAAUUAAGCCCCAGAGAUUGUCCACUUGCUUCUAGAAAUCAGUGUAAACUGUGCUGUAGUUUUACAGUGAAUUUGACAGUGUGUCAAAGGUUUUUGUUUUGGUGUAUAGGAAACCUUUCUGAGUGGUUUCUGGACAUCAGGUGUUUCAUUUAGAGAAGAAACCACAACCCGCCCAGCUUUCAUUAUGCCCUUUGAUGAAGAAUAAACAUUAUUGAAGCCUUCGGCAGGUGGUCAAGCUCCUGGAGGUGACAUGAAACCUUCGAUACCUUCAGGGACCAUCUAUAGCCAACAUCUGCAGCUCUUAAAAGUAUGGCCAUGAUGAGAUAGAAAUGAAUACUUUGCAUUAGUAUGGAUUUUGGUUUAUUGAUUCAAAUUUAAGGUCAAUUUUGUUAUAUGUAUACUUCUUCUCUUGUUUAGGUAUUGUGUUUAUACAGCUCAUUUAAAAAUGUAAUGUAUACUUAAAUACAGAUUAUAUAUAGUCACCUAUAAUAGUCAAAACUUAUAGUUAGGUUAGUUAGGUUUUCUAGAUAUACAAAGAUAUAUUUGAGAUGGAUAGAUAAUCUUGAAACCUUUCAAAGAGCCACAGAAUGUGGCAUUUAAAAUGGUUUAGGGUUUUCAUGACAGUGAGACACAAUUGCUUCUGGCAAUACCAAUUACGUCAGAGAGGAAAAUGGGCAUCAAAGAAACUCGUUAUGGAGUUUGCCUUCGACAUGGCAAGACUAGCUAUCUGGGAAAGAAACUGCUCUUGCCUGCACUGUUUGACUAUAUGCUGUGUAAACUGGACAUUCAGGACCCACAGGAAAGUGACUGCUGAACUUGCAAAAGAUGGGACAGUCUCAGGGUUCCUGCUUCAUGGAGUCUGCCAGACAUUCUGCAGGACACAGAGAAAAAAGGCUGAUAAACUGCCAAUACAAGUGAUACAGUUUCAAAUUUCUGCUUUGCUGAGAAAUCUUCCAGACACACUAUGGUCUAUGGGCUGAAGAUGGAAGCCCCAACAUUAUAGAGGAACUUUGGAUGACUGUCCAGGCAAUGAGAUGUCUCUGUCAGUUCUAGAGUUUUUAUAUUAUCCUUUUGAGGUCUUUGAUGGAAUUGAAGACAGAUAGUUAUAGUUAUGGUUUUCCUUAGUUAUGAUAAAAGAUAAGUUACAUAUAAGACUUUAGACUCACAAAGAUAGGAUAGAUGAUAGAAUAUUUUCUUUGAAUUUUGCCAAAUGUUAGUGAACUAAAUAAUGUUAACUAUAGUUACUUGAUAACUGUUUUGUUACAUAACAUUUCACUGUUAAAUUUGAAACCCUUCUUUUUAUUUAGACAGAAAAGAGAUGUACAUAUGUUUCUCUUAUUGAUUGAUGAAUAAAACACUGCUUGGUGAAUAGGGAAAAAAAGAUAGGUGGGGCAAGGAGAUGAGGAGACUUCUGGGAAAGGUAGGCAGAGGAGCCCUCCAAAAGCAGACACCAUUGAGACCACAAAGGAGUAACAGGUCCCAGCAUUCUCCGGUAAGCCAAGACCACAUGGAAAUACAUAGAUUAACAGAAAUGGGUUAAUAAUUAAGACAGAGCUAGCCAAUAAGAAGCCCUCACCAUCAGCCAACAAUUUCAUAAUUAAUAUAGCAUCUGUGUUUAUUUGGGUCUGAGAAGGGCAGCGGGACCUGGUUGGAAGAAUCUCCACAAAAUCGAGAGUGACAUGAGGGAGUGUAAAACAUAGUCUUGGGCCAGGCCGUUGUGACACUCACCUUUAAUCCCAGCACUCAGGAGGCAGAGGAAGGCAGAUUCCUGUGAGUUUAAGACCAGCAUGGUCUACAAGAGCUAGUUCUAGGACAGCCUCCAAAGCCACAGAGAAACCUUGUCUCGAAAAACCAAACCAAACCAAAUCAAAACAAAACAAAAACAUAGUCUUGGUUCUAAAGGAGAGACACAGGUAAGAUUAAGUUAGAAAGUGUAAAUCAAGCAAAAUGAACAUGAGGAUGCCUAAAAUGUUCUGGAUUGAUAUAUGAUUUACCAGGGGCAGGCAGAGACUAGGGACUAUCUUAAGCAAAAGACUGCAGAGAGGACACAAAUUUCAAAAGUUACAGCCUUCCCAGAAGUCCUGACACACAGUUGAAAGCAUUUGUCUUCAGUUCACAUGAACGGAAAUGAGUACUGGCCUGAUGUUUGGGUGGAGAGAAGUACACACUGGGAAAUUUCAGUUGUGCUUUUGUGAUGCUUAUUUGUGUGGUUGAACUGCACCCUUUAUCACUGGGGCUAUCAUUCUGUCAAUAUUUGAGGAGUGGAAGCAUCAUCUAAUAGAACAACACAGGACUAGAGGCUUGAAAAUGAGAGGAAUAUGGGAAUUUGGAGGCUUAUAUAAGAAAGAGGUUUAUUAGGGUUUUCCAAGGCAAUAGAGCCAAUAAAAUAGUAACUGUGUGUAACUCAUCUAUCUGUAUAUCUAUGAAUCUAUCACAGAGAAUUGACUCAUGAUUUUAAAGGCUAGCAAUUUUAAAAUCUGUAGUGUGGGGAGGCUAGAGCUCCAGGGAAGAAUGUCUGUUGCAGCUUGAAUGUGGUUAUCUGCCUCCUGGAAGAGUUCUUUCUAACAUUAAUCUUUUCCUAUUAAGGCCUUCAACUGAGAACAAAGCCUGGUCCAUCUGCUUACAGAAUGUGGUCUGUUUUAUUAUAACCUAGAAGCUUACACUAAUCUCACUUAAAAAUAGCUUCAUAAAAGAAUACUUGAACAAAUAUCCGGAUAUCUUGGAUGAGUCAGGUUGAUACAGUUAAUCAUAAGAGACAGCAAUAUCAUCUUUGUUGGCAUAGCCUGGUUCACCUACCAUCGUCAAGACCUGCAAGGAAUCUGUGCGCCAGAAAUUAAAGUUUCAAUGGGCUGCAUCUUAAACAGGCCCACUUCUGUCUAUAGCCUGGUGAGUGGAGAGAGGCUCUUCCUUUGAUUUCUAUGGUUGUAGACAGGUAGUGACUUCCUUAAAGACUUCCUUUGGAUGGGAAAAUGGGAUACUCAGUGGAAGAAAUAAAGGAAGGGUUCUGGAUAUCAGUAGAACAAGUAUCAGCUCUCCUUACCUUCUGUGUAACCCAUGUUUCAAAAGUGCCUUGUGCCUACUAUGCAGUCUUCAGAGGCUAUCCAUCUUGUUUUGUUGUUGUUGUUUUUUUCAGUUUCAUUAUUCCUCUUUAAGCAGAGAUGAAAUGAUCAAGGUUGUACUUUUCUUUUUGUCAUGGCUGUUGUGUGCAGUACUCAGAACUAUUUUGGAGACAUACAAAUGUUCUGUCUACAUUUUCUUAGUGAAUACAUAUAGGCUGCAUGUUUGGUCAUGACACCACACAUUUUGAAAAUGGAUAACUUUUUAUAUAUCUGACUUUCGAUGCUUGCUACUAAGAUAGAAAAAUAAUGUUGAAAAUAGGACUGGGAAUUUAAUUCUUAAGUUUUAACUCCAUAAAACCAAGAGCUUUAGCAGUGGGGUUCAUUCAUAGACAGAAAGAUAGACAGACAGAAACACAAACAGAAAGACAGACAGACAGUUACACAGACAAACACACUACCUAUGACAUAUUAUAUACUAUAGAUAUUUUUAAAACAUUUUUCUGAGUUUUUUUUUAAAUAACUGUCUAAAGUGAAAGCUGAUACUGUCUUUAUGAGCCUUCGUCUUACAGUUUAUGGAUUUAUCUAAAGUUUUCCACCAUCUGAACAGUUUUUCCUCUCUUAUGCACUGUUAUCUGCAUUUGGGGAACUAUUUACUAAAGUUCUGAGAGUAAGCCAGAUGUAAGACAAAACCACUUUUUGCCUCCUAAGAAAAGACACAGACAAAGGAAGACAUUGAUCAGGCUUUUCCAGAUGAUCGGUGCUUUUUACCAGAGAAAGAUGUUUAACAUUUUCCACAGCACAGAAUUCCACAUUCAAAGUCCCACUGUUGCCAGUAAAGUCUUUCCCAGCCUCACAAGAACAAUACUUAGCUAAUGAUAACCGUUCAGUGUGGAUACUGGGGACGUUGCAUAGAGAUGCCUUAUAUGAUGGAAUGUACUUGGUAGCAUUUUGAUGCAGUAUGCCUAGGAUGAUCACAAACCUUGCCUUUCAGAGUCUUUGGUUUUAUGUCUUUCUGGAUGAAUCUUUCUGAAUGAAUCUGGAUGAACAAUAACCAGGUUAUUGUUGGUGUAUAUCAAGUCACAAAAAACUCAUGGGUAGUAAGAAGUGGCCAUUAACUGUGUUUACUGGUUCUCUGGAUCAGGAGCUCAGGCAGCCAGGAGCAUAUGUGGCUUUUCUAGGACCUCAGCUGGGAAAAUGCAAUUAAGUGAGAGUAGGUGGAAUGACUAGUAGCUGGAAUCACCUGCCCAGUCCAUGUCUGAGGCCUGGAUUCAUAUGUUGGACCUCUAUGGAGCCCGAGAGAAUGGCUUUAACUGGGGCUAUCAUCUAUGAUGAUAACUGUGACUUCUCUGUGUGGCUUGACAUUCACAUGGUAUGGUUUCCCAGGCAAACACUGUAAGGAUGAUGUUUCAUAUUUAGAAUCUCAGAAAAUCUUCAAGGCACAUGGCAUAGGUCAUUUAUGUUGGUUUGAAGCUGUUCCAUUGACUAGCUAAAAGGACUUGGCUAUCUCUUUUCUCCCUUUUCUCAUUUGGUCAAUAAUUUAUUUGAAUUUCAUCAUUUUGCAUCCAUGUAAAGAUAUUCUGGCAAAAGAGAAGACAAACUUUUAUUUCCUGCUGUGAGAUGAUCUGGUCAUCCUUCAGUAUCUGUUUUGGGGAUUGGUGCCAGGACCCCUGAGGGCACUAAAUCUGUAGAUGCACAAGUUUCUUAAGUAAAAUGCUGUGUUUUCAUACACCAGUGCACAUCCUACUUUAUACUUUCAAUAAUCUCUAAGCUACUUACAAUACCUAACUUAAUUCAAAUGUGGUAUAAAUACUUAUUAUGCUGUAUUGUUUAGAAAAUAAUGACAAGGAAAUAAAUCUGUGUAUGUUUAGUAGAGACACAAUCAAAUUUUGUUUCUAUCCAUAUUUAGUUGAUGAGAACCUACAGACAAAGGGGUGUUCUGUGUUGGAUAUUUGGAAAUAUACUAGGUAAUUUUUAAAAUUUUGCAUAAAGGAUCCAGAAGACUUUUGGGAGAGAUGGGAUACAAAACUAUCCACCACUUCCAGAAAGUCCAGUCUUCCUGUUAUGAUGACAGCUGAGAAGCCAGCUAGAACAACCAGGAAAGAGAAGACAUGGGUGCAUGUUAGCAGCUCACAAAGGCUGAGAGAAUUCACUUCCCAACUCUGCAUUCAAAGACUUGCUGGCAGUCUGGAAUUGGUCACGGAUCGAAGUUGCAAAAACAAACAAACAAACAAAACCCAUUGGAAACUGCUGUCAAUCUAUGUGGAGGUCCUAGGGCGACUCAGCAGUUUGUUUUCUGGUUGUCCAGUAGAUGGCAGUCUACGCACUGGUUUUUCAUUGACCGUCUUCCAUGCAGGAUUCAGCCUUAACCAUGAAAUGAAACACGCUCUUGUUAUUUUGUGUCAUUAUUUUUGAAAAACAUUUUAAUAAAAUAAAGUAAAUAAAAUAUUUACUUCAAAUAUCCACAAA
rnacentral:lncRNA from 1 species